rnacentral:rRNA from 1 species
UCCAUCCACUCGCAAGAGUGGUGAAGACCUAGUGGCGAACGGGUGAGUAACACGUGAGAAACCUGCCCCGAAGACCGGGAUAACUCACCGAAAGGUGAGCUAAUACCGGAUGCCUUCACGACGUCUCAUGGCGAUGUGAAGAAAUGGAUUCCGCUUCGGGAGGGUCUCGCGGCCUAUCAGCUUGUUGGUGAGGUAACGGCUCACCAAGGCGACGACGGGUAGCUGUUCUGAGAGGAAGAUCAGCCACACUGGGACUGAGACACGGCCCAGACUCCUACGGGAGGCAGCAGUGGGGAAUCUUGCGCAAUGGGCGAAAGCCUGACGCAGCGAUGCCGCGUGCGGGAAGACGGCCUUCGGGUUGUAAACCGCUUUCAGCAGGGACGAAAUUGACGGUACCUGCAGAAGAAGCUCCGGCCAACUACGUGCCAGCAGCCGCGGUAAGACGUAGGGGGCGAGCGUUGUCCGGAAUUAUUGGGCGUAAAGGGCUCCUAGGCGGUUCAGUAAGUCGACUGUGAAAAUCCAAGGCUCAACCUUGGGACGCCAGUCGAUACUGCUGUGACUCGAGUUCGGUAGAGGAGUGUGGAUUCCUGGUGUAGCGGUGAAUGCGCAGAUAUCAGGAGGACACCAACGGCGAAGGCAGCACUCUGG